rnacentral:rRNA from 1 species
AUUGAACGCUGGCGGCAUGCUUUACACAUGCAAGUCGAACGGUAACAGGCCGCAAGGUGCUGACGAGUGGCGAACGGGUGAGUAAUGCAUCGGAACGUGCCCAGUCGUGGGGGAUAACGCAGCGAAAGCUGCGCUAAUACCGCAUACGAUCUAUGGAUGAAAGCGGGGGACCGUAAGGCCUCGCGCGAUUGGAGCGGCCGAUGUCAGAUUAGGUAGUUGGUGGGGUAAAGGCUCACCAAGCCAACGAUCUGUAGCUGGUCUGAGAGGACGACCAGCCACACUGGGACUGAGACACGGCACAGACUCCUACGGGAGGCAGCAGUGGGGAAUUUUGGACAAUGGGCGCAAGCCUGAUCCAGCAAUGCCGCGUGCAGGAAGAAGGCCUUCGGGUUGUAAACUGCUUUUGUACGGAACGAAACGGUCCUGGUUAAUACCUGGGGCUAAUGACGGUACCGUAAGAAUAAGCACCGGCUAACUACGUGCCAGCAGCCGCCGCCGUAA